rnacentral:sRNA from 1 species
CUAGUAGGAACGUGCUAUGUAAUAAACACCGCAACAAAUUGUUUCCUUGUCUUGAGUGGAGUGACAUACGGCUAUCUUGAGUUGAGUGACAUACGGCUAUCUUGAGUUGAGUGACAUACAGCUAUUUGAUUGGCGUUGACUCUUUGUUUAAGAGCAUUGUUAAAACGAUUGCUACAAAUUGUACAACAAAAACGUGUGUGCGUGUGUUUUGGUGAUUGUGUGUUUGUGUAUAACGUGUAAGCUCCUGUGUUGAGUGUUUGUCAAGACCAGCACUCGUGUUGUUGAAGUGUUAGCUGUGUUACAAGCGAGAUAACAAGAGAAAUACACACUGCUUCAGCAUUAUCUGCAGAUAGACAAAGGAUUGUUUUAAUAGAACAAGGUCAUUUCAUAUAGGCCAAACUAAGGACACAAUUCGCUGCAGUUGAUUGAUGUGUUCACUGUGGAUGUGACCAGGUGCGGAAAUAGCUUUCUAAACACGUCAGACCGACAGACAGACGACACAAUACAUGACAACAGCUUUUCAUCUUACGGGGGGACU